GGGGAAUAUUGCGCAAUGGGGGGAACCCUGACGCAGCCAUGCCGCGUGAAUGAAGAAGGCCUUCGGGUUGUAAAGUUCUUUCGGUAUUGAGGAAGGUUGAUGUGUUAAUAGCACAUCAAAUUGACGUUAAAUACAGAAGAAGCACCGGCUAACUCCGUGCCAGCAGCCGCGGUAAUACGGAGGGUGCGGGCGUUAAUCGGAAUAACUGGGCGUAAAGGGCACGCAGGCGGUUAUUUAAGUGAGGUGUGAAAGCCCCGGGCUUAACCUGGGAAUUGCAUUUCAGACUGGGUAACUAGAGUACUUUAGGGAGGGGUAGAAUUCCACGUGUAGCGGUGAAAUGCGUAGAGAUGUGGAGGAAUACCGAAGGCGAAGGCAGCCCCUUGGGAAUGUACUGACGCUCAUGUGCGAAAGCGUGGGGAGCAAACAGGAUUAGAUACCCUGGUAGUCCACGCUGUAAACGCUGUCGAUUUGGGGGUUGGGGUUUAACUCUGGCGCCCGUAGCUAACGUGAUAAAUCGACCGCCUGGGGAGUACGGCCGCAAGGUUA
rnacentral:rRNA from 1 species